AGGGUUCGAUUAUGGCUCAGAACGUACGCUGGCGGCACGCCUAACACAUGCAAGUCGAACGAAGUAGCAAUACUUAGUGGCAGACGGGUGAGUAACAUGUAGGUAUCUGCCCUUUGGCCUGGAAUAACACGAGGAAACUUGUGCUAAUACCGGAUAAGUCUUUACGGAGAAAGCUUUAUGCACCAUUGGAUGAGCCUGCACUUGAUUAGUUUGUUGGUAGGGUAAUGGCCUACCAAGACUGUGAUCAAUAGCUGAUUUGAGAGGAUGAUCAGCUACAUUGGGACUGAGACACGGCCCAAACUCCUACGGGAGGCAGCAGUGGGGAAUCUUGCACAAUGGAGGAAACUCUGAUGCAGCGAUGCCGCGUGAGUGAAGAAGGCCCUUGGGUUGUAAAGCUCUUUCGUCGGGGAAGAAAAUGACUGUACCCGAAUAAGAGGGUCCGGCUAACUUCGUGCCAGCCGCCGCGGUAAUAC
rnacentral:rRNA from 1 species